AUGGAUGCCAUACAGACUAAAAACGUUAAAGUACCCAACUCUCUUUUAGUGGGAGGUUUAAUUGAUGAUGAGGUUGACAAUGAGGUUUUUGAUUACCUAGCACAGUUUGGUGCCAUUGAAAGGAUAAUUAAGAUUGUUAGUUCCGAACCUCAAUUGAAAGACUCGGCUAUUGUCGAGUUUAAGUCAGGUGAGACCAUCCAGUUCUUACAGGACACUUUACCUGACAAAAGACCCAGCAGUAAUCCAAAUGUUAGUCAUCAUAUUCAGCUUCUGUCUCAUGUCUAUUCAGCUGAUAGAGGCUCAAGCUUGACAAUUCUCAAUUAUUUAGCUGAACUGAAGGGUGUCGCAAAGCUAAGCAGAGCUGAUUUUGAAAAGGUUUUGCUGGAUGAACUGGCCAGAAUACAAGAGUCUACUAAAAUUCCCCAGACAGCUGAACCUGAUACAUCAAAAGUAAGCAUUAGCUAUGCAGCCCCAGCUGAGCCAACGGCUAACCAAACGCAGACACCAUUCAAAAUAACUACUGAUUUGACCCACUCCAAUGAACAUGACUCACUGUCACUCCCUGUAGGUGCAGAGGCAUUACCCUUACCCAAGAAACAAACCCUGUACUUACCCUUUGAACAUCUCAUCACUCCUGAAGUCCAAAAGGUUGUAGUGGAGCAUGUCAUAAAAAACAGUAAUUCGACUUCCCAUUAUCAUAGUAGCACCAAACUCAGGCCUUUCUCUGGGAGGAUCCCCUGUCCCAACUUUGAGUCAGCCUAUGACACAUGGCGCAGCAAUGUUGAGUUCCACCUUGCUGACAACGGGAUGUCUGACAUGCUCACUGUCAGGAAGAUGGUGGAAAGCCUUCUCCCACCUGCUUCCAACAUUAUCAAACAUCUUGGGCCUAACUCAACCCCGAAGGACUAUCUCAGCCUGCUCGACUCAGCAUAUGACAUUGUUGAUGAUGGAGAUGAGCUUUUUGCAAAGCUAUUAAGCACAAACCAGAACUCUGGCGAAAAGCCUUCUAGCUACCUUCAAAGGUUGCAGGCAGACCUGAGUAAAGUCAUUAAACGAGGCGGUAUCAGUGCAAAUGACUCAGAGCGCCAGCUGCUCAAGCAGUUUUGCAGAGGUUGCUGGAACAACAGUCUAAUCACAACCCUCCAGCUUGAGCAGAAGAAAGAAAAUCCACUUUCAUUCACAGAGGUACUUCUUCUGUUACGCACAGAGGAGGAUCGCCAGGCUGCUAAGUCCAGCCGGAUGAAACAGCACUUUGGGUUCUCAAAGAUCAAAGUCCAGUCAAAUUCCCUUUCAGUUGAGGAUUAUUCUCCUGAUGACACAGACAUGGAAGCUACUGCAGCUGUAGCCCCUCCCAUCCACACAAACAAGUUGGAAAAACAACUUGCAAAGUUGCAAGCCCAAAUGGCUUCUUUGAAAGCAUCCUUGAGUAAUGGCUCUGGCCAGUCUUCUGAUAAGUCAAACAAGAAAUCUAAAUCUUACACAAAGACCCCCACUGAGCAAAAAUCUCCGAACCUAGCCGAGUUACAUUUCACAAAGAAGCCCAGGCCGGGCUAUUGCUUUAAGUGUGGAGAGGAUGGCCAUAUUGCGCCUUCCUGCAGUAAUGAGCCAAACCCUGAACAAGUUGACAUGAAAAGAAAAGAGUUCAAACGAAAACAACAAGCCUGGGAAGAACAAAACAGACAUAAUUUAAACUAA
rnacentral:lncRNA from 1 species